rnacentral:lncRNA from 10 species
UUCAAUAUCCGUAUCAUGGGAAAAUAGUUUUUCUACCAGGAAUGUACUCUCAUUAUAGGACAGCAUAGUGGAGAGCAGUGUUGCUGUAGACAUCCACGUUCCAGCAGAACGAUGCCACAAAUCUCUUCCUGGCAAUGUACAGCCUCCUCAAAGGCAUCCCAUUUUGUUUAUCACCAAUGUCAAUGUGGCAUUUUCAGUUCACCAGGAGAGUCCCCACUUCCACAUGGCCAUUGGCACAGGCCAAACGUACAGCAGCCCUGUCCAUCCACAGCUGAAGGGAUAGAGAAACUGCCAUACAGAUACACACAGAGUAUGCUUCAGCCAUAAAGCUUUGGGAAAUCCUGUCAUUCGCAGCCACAUGGAGAAACCCAGAGGACAUUAGGUCCAAGAAAAUGAGCCUGGUGGAGCAAGUCCCACACUGCGUGACCUCAGGCAUGUGGACUCCAAAAAGCUUUAUCUCCUGCCCAUCCACAGAUGAAGGGAUCAAGAAACUCUGAUAUAUAUACACAAAGGAAUGUUCUUUGGCCAUCAAGAUAAUUAAAGGAUGUCAUUUGGAGGAACAUAGAUGGCCCGCCGAGGCUGCGGCUGCCUCAUCCUGCACUGUGGAUGGAAGCCGCUGAUCUGACAGGAAGUGGAGCUCAGGUGGUAAUGCUCGCUCUUGCUGUGCUGCCAGGUUCUUAACAGGCCAGGGAUGAUACUGGUCCAGGGGUGGGGGAGCCCUGCUCCAGAUGACAGCCAGAGUAGUCUUAAAUGACCUUCUGCUUUGCACAAAGGUGGUAUGCAAUCAGAAGACGUCUGAGGAGACAAGUAUGCAUCUCCCACCACAACAUUAUAUGAUGCUUGGAGUAAAAACAGUCCUCCCUGUUCCUACCCACGAAUGUAUUAUUCAAUAAAGAUUGCUGCCAGGCAUGGUGGCUCAUACCUGUAGUCCCGCACUUUGGGAGGCUGAGGCUGGGCAGAUCGCUUGAGACCAGGGUUUGAGACUAGCCUGGACAACAUGGUGAGCCACCAUCUCUGCAGAAAUAAAAUAAAAUAAAAUUAGCCAGGUGUAGUGGCCUGUGCCUAUAGCCUCAGCUACUUGGGAGGCUGAGGCAGGAGAAUAGCUUGAGCCCUGGAAGUCCAGGCAACAGUAAGCCAUGAUGGUGGCACUGCACUCCAAACUGGGUGACAGAGUAAGACCCUGUCUUAAAAAAAAAAAAAAAAGAUUGCAUUAUUCAAUCUUUUUUCCCAUAUAUAAUUUAUAUAGUUACAUAAUUACAUUCUAGUUUUUGCACAUGCCGAGAACUACAUAUAAUUUAGUAGUAUGCUGUUUUCACUUAUAUAUCACAUAUAUUUUCCUAUAUAGGUAUAUAAUAUCUAUAUUUGUCCUUUUCCAUUUGACUGCUGUGUUUCUUAAAUUGAUAUACUGUGAUCUAAGCCAGUUACAGAUUGGUAUGGAUUUAAAUUACUUCCUAUUUUCUGUUUUAUUAACAAUAAACACUGUUAUGAUAUAGUUUUCAUUUUUGUUUGUUUGGUUUUUGAUCAUUUCCUGUGGAAGUAUUCUCAAAGCUGAAAUUACUGAAUUAGUGGGAACAAACAUGGCUGUCUUUUUAAAUGUUUUGUCAGCUUACUCUCCAAAAGGAUUACACCAAGAGGUAUUGCCACUAGCAGUAGUUAAGAGUUUGUCUCACCAUGAUUACAAAUUUUUCAAAAUUGGUAGCUUAUUCACACUGAUUGGAACAUAUGAAUUGUUCAAUAUUUUAUAAUAUGUAUAUGGGAAAACCCUUAUAUAGAUUAAUCAAGAACAUAUAAGUAUGUAAUAAAUUCCAUACUGGAUUACAUCGAUGAUCCUUCUGGCUCUGCAUCUUGAAACCUAGUUAAGCUCUUUUAUGUUAAAUUCACCCGGAUAGAGUUUUGGAAAAUACUUGCUUUUUAUUUCUGAAAGUUUUUGCAAAGGAUUAGGUUUGGUUUUAUGAAAAGUUUCGUCUCUGAAAUUAUCUGCCUAGACUUUGGACAAGGUGUUCUAUUAAUUGUCAAAUACAAUUGAAUUGAAUCACAUUUUUCUUUCUAGGUUACUUUAUAAGGUGUUCCUACAGGUCAUAAAAAAAUUGCCCACAAGGAGCCAAAUUACUUUAUUCAUGGAUCUAAUAUUGCUUUAUAGUAUUGCUAUAUAGGUUUAGAUAAUUAUGUUGUUUCACCUUCAGUAGUCAUAUUUUAGUUAUAGGUAAAGUCAUUCCUAGUUAAAAUAGUAUGUAAAGCAAACACAUUUGAAAUCACCAGUAUUCGACAUGUUUUGCUAUUACUUACAAGUAACAAUUUACAUUAUUUUAAUGUUGUAAAUAGUUGUGGAAUUUAGUCAUUUUCUGUAUAUUGAAUUAAUUACUGGCAUUAAAUAAGUAUCUUCUCUCUUUAGUAGCUUAACUCAUUUCCUGAAUGUACCCAUUUGAUAUCAUACUUUUGAUUGGUAAAGUCACAUGUAAAUAUCUUUUUUACUUUUUAUAAAAUAAUGUCAUAAAAAUAUGGAAGAUUUUCUGGCAGACAUUAUUAGCUAACUGAUGACAUUUUCAGUAAGUGCCAAAAAGUAAUAUAUGAAUAUAUAAAACAUCAAAUAUUUAGCAUAAACUUUAUAAAUAGCAGAAAUGAUUAGUAGAAGAAAUUACUCACAUAUUGUCUGCUAAAAUAAAUAUUAAAAUUUGACUACAUGAAAAAAUAUAGUUUCUUGAGCUGAUCAAAUAAAUUGAUCAUAAUUCUUCCUCG